rnacentral:rRNA from 1 species
AUCAGAGGUUUGAUCCUGGCUCAGAUUGAACGCUGGCGGCAGGCCUAACACAUGCAAGUCGAGCGAGAUCUUCGGAUCUAGCGGCGGACGGGGUUAGUAACGCGUGGGAACGUACCCAAAGGUAGGGAAUAGCCACUGGAAACGGUGAGUAAUACCCUAUGUGCCCUUCGGGGGAAAGAUUUAUCGCCUUUGGAUCGGCCCGCGUUAGAUUAGAUAGUUGGUGGGGUAACGGCCUACCAAGUCUACGAUCUAUAGCUGGUUUUAGAGGAUGAUCAGCAACACUGAGACUGAGACACGGCCCAGACUCCUACGGGAGGCAGCAGUGGGGGGAAUCUUGGACAAUGGGGGGCAACCCUGAUCCAGCCAUGCCGCGUGAGUGAUGAAGGCCUUAGGGUCGUAAAGCUCUUUCGCCUGUGAAGAUAAUGACUGUAGCAGGUAAAGAAACCCCGGCUAACUCCGUG